CGGUGAAGUUAGGAAGAGCGCACGGAGGAUGCCUAGGCGCCAAGAGCCGAAGAAGGACGGGGCGAACACCGAAAUGCCACGGGGAGCUGUAAGCGAGCAUUGAGCCGUGGAUGUCCGAAUGGGGAAACCUGCUAGUGAGAAGCGCUAGUACCGUACACUGAAUACAUAGG
rnacentral:rRNA from 1 species